GUGCUCAUUUCAGCAGCACAAACACUAAAGCUGAAAUGAUACAGAGAAGAUUAGCAUGGCACCUGAACAAGAAUGACACAAACAUUUGUGAAGCAUUCCACAGUUUU